UUUAACCUUAAUUUAUUUUUUAAUGUUUAUAUUAUUUGAAURWWWCWAUUCAAAUAAUAUAAAAAAUAAUAUAUAUAUUGACAUGGAUUAAACAAAGAUAUAUAUUAUUUUAUGUUGUAUAAACAAAUUGGCAAAAUAGAGAUGGAAGAUAAAAAUAUGGUCAAAGUAAUAAGAGUCUAUGGUGGAUGCCUAGGAGCUUUAAGGCGAAGAAGGUCGUGGUAAGCUGCGAAAAGCUUGGGGG
rnacentral:misc_RNA from 1 species